rnacentral:rRNA from 1 species
CCUACGGGAGGCAGCAGUGAGGAAUAUUGGUCAAUGGACGCAAGUCUGAACCAGCCAUGCCGCGUGCAGGAAGACGGCUCUAUGAGUUGUAAACUGCUUUUGUACGAGGGUAAACGCAGAUACGCGUAUCUGUCUGAAAGUAUCGUACGAAUAAGGAUCGGCUAACUCCGUGCCAGCAGCCGCGGUAAUACGGAGGAUUCAAGCGUUAUCCGGAUUUAUUGGGUUUAAAGGGUGCGUAGGCGGUCGGAUAAGUUAGAGGUGAAAUCCCGAGGCUCAACUUCGGAAUUGCAUCUGAUACUGUUCAGCUAGAGAGUAGUUGCGGUAGGCGGAAUGUAUGGUGUAGCGGUGAAAUGCUUAGAGAUCAUACAGAACACCGAUUGCGAAGGCAGCUUACCAAGCUACUUCUGACGUUGAGGCACGAAAGCGUGGGGAGCAAACAGGAUUAGAUACCCCGGUAGUC